CAGAGCCGUGCCAAAAAGCGUUUCUUGUAGGUUUCAACAUGUUCCUUAGGAUCUCGCCGGGUUUGAUUGUAAGCCUCAUUUUUGUUCAUCUCCUCCAUCCACGCAGCCAGAUUAGGUCUUCCUUCAGUGAUAUCAUAUUUCCUUAGGUCCAACAAGGCAGGCUGAAAUCUUUCAAUGAAUGGAGCAUAAGCGAUAUCCACCAGACUGAACUGGCCAAGGAAAAAGGGUCCAUCAUCAAAUUUGGAAAGAGAUGUUUCUAUGAAAUCAAGUACAGUACCAGCUUCAUUUGCAUCUCCUUUGAAAACUAGAGCUUUGUUGAAAGAGUCAGUGUAGGCAAACAACUCUUCUGCUAACUCUUUCUUUGCAGGAUCUUCAGGUAAAAGUGAUGGCCCAUCAAAGUUACUGUCAAUGUAUUUAAUCAAAUCAAGAGACUCUCCUUUGACUUCAUGAUUGUGUUCCAGUGAAGGUACCUUGUUAGGAGGGUAGACUUUCUCCUUGUACCAGGAUGGCCUAUUUUGCAGAUCAAUAGGAACCAAUUUUAUCUUGUCCUGCAAUCCCUUACAGUUGCGAGCAAUCCACACACGCUGAGCAUAUGGGCAUGUGUACGAUAUGUACAACCUUGUUGUUCCAUCAUAGAUUGAAGGUGGGUCUGAAGUAGAAGUUAGAGGCGGUGGAAGAACCUCCUUCACACUUCCAGUAGCCAUUGAAGCCGAAAUGGCUGAAGGUGCAGGCCUUGAGUUCCUCAGCGAGAGAAAAGAAGCAACUCGAUGAAACUGAAGUGAAUAAUGAGAGUGUAAUUUGAUGGGAUAGCCAGCGUUUGCGAAUCUAGCAGGAUUCUUGGAGAGGAAAAGGAUAGAAAGAUCUUUUGAAGACGUCAGUGGUGACGAACUACUGAAGUAGCUAAGUGCCAAUGAGGCC
rnacentral:misc_RNA from 1 species